UGGGGAAUUUUGGACAAUGGGCGAAAGCCUGAUCCAGCAAUGCCGCGUGUGUGAAGAAGGCCUUCGGGUUGUAAAGCACUUUUGUCCGGAAAGAAAUCCUUGGCUCUAAUACAGUCGGGGGAUGACGGUACCGGAAGAAUAAGCACCGGCUAACUACGUGCCAGCAGCCGCGGUAAUACGUAGGGUGCAAGCGUUAAUCGGAAUUACUGGGCGUAAAGCGUGCGCAGGCGGUUUGCUAAGACCGAUGUGAAAUCCCCGGGCUCAACCUGGGAACUGCAUUGGUGACUGGCAGGCUAGAGUAUGGCAGAGGGGGGUAGAAUUCCACGUGUAGCAGUGAAAUGCGUAGAGAUGUGGAGGAAUACCGAUGGCGAAGGCAGCCCCCUGGGCCAAUACUGACGCUCAUGCACGAAAAGCGUGGGGAGCAAACAGGAUUAGAUACCCUGGUAGUCCACGCCCUAAAACGAUGUCAACUAGUUGUUGGGGGACUUCAUUUUCCUUAGUAACGUAGCUAACGCGUGAAGUUGACCGCCUGGGGGAGUAACGGUCGCAAGAUUAAAAACUCAAAUGAAUUGACGGGGUCAUAGCU
rnacentral:rRNA from 1 species